rnacentral:lncRNA from 1 species
UGUUCUUCAUGACGGCAUCGUGGAUUCGGCGUGAUUGACGGCGGUUCAUGGAUUCAGAUCGUGAGCUUCGUGGAUUCGGAAUGGAGACGUUUCGUGGAUUCGGAACAUGGCGUUCGUGGAUUCGAACGUGAGAGCGUGGACAACCCGGAGGAUUGCAUAAGAUUCAUAGGAGGUUAAGAGUGGUCGAGUCCGUAGAGUCGGUAAU